GAUGAACGCUGACAGAAUGCUUAACACAUGCAAGUCGAUGGGGAAGUGGUGCUUGCACCAUGGCAACCAUGGCGGACGGGUGAGUAACGCGUAAGGGACUUACCUGCAGGACUGGGAUAACAGGGGGAAACUCCUGACAAGACCGGAUAAUGUCAUGGAGCUGCAUGGCUUUAUGAUGAAAGGAGACGCCUGCGGAGAGCCUUGCGUCCUAUUAGCUAGUUGGUGAGGUAAUGGGUCACCAAGGCGAAGAUAGGUAGCCGGCCUGAGAGGGUGGACGGCCACAAGGGGACUGAGAUACGGCCCUUACUCCUACGGGAGGCGGCAGUGGGGAAUAUUGGACAAUGGGGGCAACCCUGAUCCAGCAAUUCUGUGUGCACGAAGAAGGUUUUCGGAUUGUAAAGUGCUUUCAGCAGGGAAGAAGUAAGUGACGGUACCUGCAGAAGAAGCGACGGCUAAAUACGUG
rnacentral:rRNA from 1 species